AUUGAACGCUGGCGGCAGGCCUAACACAUGCAAGUCGAGCGAGCGGCGGACGGGUGAGUAAUGUAUGGGGACUGCCCGAUAGAGGGGGAUAACUACUGGAAACGGUAGCUAAUACCGCAUACUAUCGGAUAACCCAUAUGGGAUGAGCUAGUGGGUGAGGUAAUGGCUCACCUAGGCGACGAUCCCUAGCUGGUCUGAGAGGAUGAUCAGUCAUAGUGUUACUGAGACACGGCCCAGACUCCUACGGAGGCAGCAGUGGGGAAUAUUGCACAGUGGGCGCAAGCCUGAUGCAGCCAGACCGCUUGUAUGAAGAAGGCCCUAGGGUUGUAAAGUACGUUCAGGCGGGAGGCGUUACCGACAGAAGAAGCACCGGCUAACUCCGUGCCAGCAGCCGCGGGAAUAC
rnacentral:rRNA from 1 species